AGUUAGCUGUCUGUCUCCUUGAUGGCUGCUGUCUCAACAUAAGCUCUCAGCUCCUGCUCCAGAGCCAUGCUUUCCUGUUUCCAUGCUUCUCCACACGAUGGUCAUGAACUCUUCUGCCCUCCGGAAUCAUGAGCCCCAGACUAAAUGCUUUCUUACAUAUGCUCACGUGAUCUGAAAUUCGCUGCUGUGAAAACAGAAGGAAACAGUCCUGUCAGGAGCACCAGCCCCUGCAGUUCCCUGGCGCAAUGGAGGAAGGUUCCUCUCCGCCUGAGUUCCUACCUCUGCUCCGUGAUGGACUGUGAUCCUGACACCCACAACUAAAAUCCGGCAGGUGCUUGCAGACAGUGACAUCUUGUGGGAAAUCUCAGGAACUUCACCGUGGCAAAUCGCCGCUCCUUUUACUGUGGGGUCCUUGGAAUACCCAGUCAACAUCAAGCAAGCAUUCAUUCAUUCACUGCCUUCUGUGUACAAGGAACUGAUCCAAGUCCUGGAGUAAAGAAAGCAAGAGAGGCUGGAUGGCUACACGGGGGAGUGAAAAAAAUCCCAAGGAUUAUAACUUUGUCAUUACUGCUCAACUUUAAAUAUAUAUAUAUAAAAUAUAUAUAUAUAUAUUGUGUGUGUG
ensembl:processed_transcript 2410003L11Rik RIKEN cDNA 2410003L11 gene